GUGAGGACAAUACAGAGCUCCCUGCUGGCUGGGGACCCUGGCUCAGGCGGGGAAGGCAGCCAUUAGAAGGCCUGGGGGAGCCAAAGCGGAGGGACUCGUCCCAGGCUCGGGGGGGGGGGGGGGGGGGCGGCUGCUUCUGCCCAGGGUCUGGAGAGUUCUGGAAGCUCCGGGAACGGGCCCCGCUUUGAGCUGUUCUGCAGCAGCGAAGAAGCAGGAAGAGGAAGAAAAAGUCAGCGUCCGUUAAGAUUGAGUAGAGCCAUUUUCAAGUGGACCUCCUGGAAGCACUUUGAAGAGAAGUCACUGACCCUUCCAGCCAGCCUGGAUGCUGUCCCUGACAUGCACACCCGUAGGUGGCUAGGCUGUAGGAUGCUGUGAGAGUGGGCACCGAGCAGCCACUUUGACAUCAAGGAGAGAUGUUCCUUGCGUGAAAAAUUUACCCAAGGCAGAUGCAACGGUAUCCUAGUGCUGAAUUCAACCGAGAUUCUAGAAGGAGGCAGGCAACGAAAUUCUGCACGGAUGACCAGCCACGGGAGCAGACGGAAAUUCUGAACCUGGAGCGCGGUCCGCGGGCUGCGGGACCCCGGGGUUCUAAGAUGCUGCUCCGCAAGAGUGACAGCGCCCAGUCGCGUCUCCAGCCAAUCGACACAUUGCUCACGCCCCUGCCUUCGCCAAUGAAAAGUCAGUCUACGCCCAUUAUGCAAAUGAACUAGCCCUCUGGUGCUGAUGGGGGAUAAAGACUACCGAAAUGCUAGCAGUGGCCCCUAUGAAUCGUGGGCUUCUGAUGAGUCCUUUAAAUGCUCGCCACCCCCCGCCCCAUGGUGCCCGUACUCCUGCUUGCAUUAACUGACUAUCCUAGAGUACAGAUUAAAAGUAAUGAACAAGAUAUGUCACAUUGUCUAUCUGAAGAGUUGUGAAACAGAUCAGAGGUCACUUAGUCAUUUAAGGAAAAGCGUUAGAUUUGCAAAGCCUGUGGCUUUAGAAGCAGCCUUGGGAAUUGGGGAUGCGCCCCCCCCCCCCCCCCCCAGCCCAAGGAAGGUACAUAAGCAGGGGGCGUGAUCUAAAGAAAAUUCCAUCAGGACCUGGGACGAUGACUUUGCACCAGACUUCACGC
ensembl:lncRNA